rnacentral:rRNA from 1 species
AGUGAAUAGAUACCCGGGUAGUCCACGCCGUAAACGAUGGAUGCUAGCUGUUAGGAGUAUCGACCCUUCUAGUAGCGAAAGCUAACGCGUUAAGCAUCCCGCCUGGGGAGUACGGUCGCAAGAUUAAAACUCAAAGGAAUUGACGGGGACCCGCGCAAGUGGUGGAGCGUGUUCUUUAAAUUCGAUGGUAAGCGAAGAACCUUACCAGGGCUUGACAUCCUUGGAAUUUCUCCGAAAGGAGAGAGUACUUUAUUGGACCAAGUGACAGGUGUUGCAUGGCCGUCGUCAGCUCGUGUCGUGAGAUGUUAGGUUAAGUCCUUCAACGAGCGCAACCCUUAUGUUUAGUUGGAUUUUCUAAACAGACUGCCUCGGUAACGGGGUAGGAAGGAGGGGAUGAUGUCAGGUCAUUAUUACCCUUACGCCCU